rnacentral:rRNA from 1 species
AUUGAACGCUGGCGGCAGGCCUAACACAUGCAUGUCGAACGAGUGGCGGACGGGUGAGUAAUGUCUGGGAAACUGCCUGGUGGAGGGGGAUAACUACUGGAAACGGUAGCUAAUACCGCAUACCAUCAGAUGUGCCCAGAUGGGAUUAGCUUGUUGGUGGGGUAACGGCUCACAAAGGCGAUGAUCCCUAGCUGGUCUGAGAGGAUGACUGGCCAGACUGGAACUGAGACACGGUGCAGACUCCAACGGGAGGCAGCAGUGGGGCAUAUGGUACAAUGGGGGAAAGCCUGAUGCAGCCCUGCCGCGUGACUGAAGAAGGCAUUCGGGUUGUAAAGUACUUUCAGCGGGGAGGCGUUAUCCGGCGAAGAAGCACCGUCUAACUCCGUGCCAGGGGCCGCGGUAAUUC